rnacentral:tRNA from 1 species
AAGGGAGACCUAAUUCGGGUAGGAGACGAAAAAAAAGUAGUCCCUACCAAGAAUCAAUCCCAAAAGGUCGGAACGAGGUAUGUGGCUUUCAAACUAGGUUCUGGGUUCACACAAGACCUGAAUCAGGAACAAGGGCUAUUAGCUCAGGUGGUUAGAGCGCACCCCUGAUAAGGGUGAGGUCCCUGGUUCGAGUCCAGGAUGGCCCACCUGCACAGGUGGCAAAAACAAAGAAGCGAGGAAUCAGCACCUUAUCUUAUCUAUAUAUAAGAGAGAAUGCUGGCUCUGAGUAAAGAGUCCAGAGGAACCUUGAAAACUGCAUAGAGCUAGGUGAAAAAGCCAAAAAAGAAGACCGCAA